rnacentral:misc_RNA from 1 species
GUGAAUCAUCGAAUCUUUGAACGCAAAUUGCACUCCCUGGUAUUCCGGGGAGUAUGCCUGUUUGAGGGUCGUUAGAAUAAAAAAUUGAUGCGUCGCUCUUUUUUUUAAGGGAGAUUGCGUCGGAAUUGAGUCGUCUUUCAAAUGUUAAUCAAUGUUAAAGUGGUUUGAAAUUAAUCAAUCCGGUACGUUUGAAACGUAUUUAAGAUCAAUUUUGUAUGAGAACGCGUGUUGACGUAUCAUUUUAUGUAGUACGUGUGACCUG